UAAUAAUCACCUAACCUAGACCUUGACUCUACACCCCCUAACCUUCUAAAUCAUCGAACCAUAACCCAUAACCCUUCUAAAGACGCAAUGUGAUUUAUUCCCAUUGAUCUGCAUGUAAAAGUGAAUAAAUUCAACCAAGCAUGGGUAAACAGAGGGAGUAACUAUGACUAUCUUAAGGUAGCUAGAUGCUUCUUCAUCUAAUUAGUGAUGUGCAUGAAUGGAUCAUUAAUGAUAUUUCCCACUAUCCCUAGCUACUAUAUUCUAGAGAAACCACAUCCAAGCGAAUGGGCUUGGCAAAAUUAGCGGGGAAAGAAGACCCUAAUGUUGAGCUUGACUCUAGUCCUAACCCAUUCAUAGUUUGGGA
rnacentral:ncRNA from 1 species